CUUCUCCUGCGGGCUAAGGGUGUGGGCGACAGCUCGCACAUUCAAAUGAGGGAGCGAUUACACCGCGCUUGCUUCUGAAGACGGAUUUCCUGAGACUUUUAUGCGAGUGUGAGGGCCAGCAGGUGCACAUUUGAAGCUCAGUGGGAAGUGUUUUCCAAGCAACAGGAGACAGCAGAUGCAGACGGGGUCCAAUUACUGCUGCUCACGGCUGAUCACGCCAUGCACUUGUGUGCGGAUACCUGGCUCCUGGUCUCAGGCACCUAGUAUGGGGCUAUGCACACGGGAACGCUCAUGCAUUCCUGAGAAGUUGGCUGGAACUAAGGGAGCAUUCAGAGACCACAGAUCCAGUUGACUGGCCCCUGCUGACAUCCAGUCCACGUUGUUGGCCACAUCAGCUCCUCUUCAAACUCAUGAUGCAAAUCAACAGCUAAACAUGUUGAUAUUUUUUGUUUCUCUCAGCUAAGUGGAUCCCUGAGUCCUCCUGGUGCAGUGGAAAGAUUUGAGUUUUGCAGCCAAA
rnacentral:lncRNA from 1 species